AUAAGCAAAAUAAGGGCGUAUGGGGAAUGCCUAGGCUCUCAGAGGCGAAGAAGGACGUGAUAAGCUGCGAAAAGCUACGGGGAUUGGCACACACGAAUUGAUCCGUAGAUAUCCGAAUGGGGCAACCCAGUAUGUUGAAGACAUAUUAUCCUAAUAGGAGGCGAACCCGCUGAACUGAAACAUCUAAGUAGGCGGAGGAGAAGAAAACAAAAGUGAUUCCGUAAGUAGUGGCGAGCGAACGCGGAAAAGCCCAAACCAAAGUUGUUACGGCAAUUUUGGGGUUGUAGGACCACGAGAUUUCUUGCGGAUUUAAUUAGAAUUACCUGGAAAGGUAAACCAAAGAGGGUGAUAGUCCCGUAUAAGUAAGAGAAGAUAAGAAUAGUGGUAUCCUGAGUAGGUCGGGGCACGUGAAACCUUGAUUGAAACUGGCGGGACCAUCCGCUAAGGCUAAAUACUCCUGAGAGACCGAUAGUGAACCAGUACCGUGAGGGAAAGGUGAAAAGAACCGUGAAUAACGGAGUGAAACAGAUCCUGAAACCAUACGCCUACAAGCGGUCGGAGCCCUUUUGUGGGGUGACGGCGUGCCUUUUGCAUAAUGAGCCUACGAGUUACCGUUGCUGGCAAGGAUAAGUGAUUAAGUCAUGG
rnacentral:rRNA from 1 species